rnacentral:rRNA from 1 species
UACGGAGGAUCCGAGCGUUAUCCGGAUUUAUUGGGUUUAAAGGGUGCGCAGGCGGGAGAUUAAGUCGGCGGUGAAAUUUUGCAGCUCAACUGUAAAAGUGCCAUUGAUACUGGUUUCCUUGAGUGUGGAUGAAGUAGGCGGAAUUUGUGGUGUAGCGGUGAAAUGCUUAGAUAUCACGAGGAACUCCGAUUGCGCAGGCAGCUUACUAAACCAUAACUGACGCUCAGGCACGAAGGCGUGGGGAGUCAAACAGGAUUAGAUACCCU